GCCGGGUGUGGUGGCUCACGCCUGUAAUCCCAGCUUUGGGAGGCCGAGGCGGGUGGAUCACCUGAGGUCAGGAGUUCGAGACCAGCCUGGCCAAUAUGGCGAAACCCCGUCUCUA
rfam:Nomascus leucogenys chromosome 22a, whole genome shotgun sequence.